rnacentral:rRNA from 1 species
CGGUUGAUCCUGCCGGACCCUACUGCUAUCGGGGUGGGACUAAAACAUGCAAGUCGUGCGCCUCCAAGCCAUGGUGGAGACGCGGCAUACGGCUCAGUAACACGUGGCUAACCCACCCUUGAGACGGGGACAACCCCGGGAAACUGGGGUUAAUCCCCGAUAGGUGAAGACACCUGGAAUGGGUCUUCACCCAAAGGACGUCCAAACCAUGCUUUUGGACGUCGCUCAAGGACGGAGCCGCGGCCGAUCAGGUUGUUGGUGAGGCAAAGGCUCACCAAGCCUAUAACCGGUACGGGCCGUGAGAGCGGGAGCCCGGAGAUGGGCACUGAGACAAGGGCCCAGGCCCUACGGGGCGCAGCAGUUGCGAAAACUCCGCAAUGCACGAAAGUGUGACGGGGCUACCCCGAGUGCCGCCCGCUGAGGGCGGCUUUUCCCCGGUGUAAGGAGCCGGAGGAAUAAGGAGAGGGCAAGUCUGGUGUCAGCCGCCGCGGUAAUACCAGCUCUCCGAGUGGUAGGGAUAAUUAUUGGGCUUAAAGCGUCCGUAGCCGGCCUAACAAGUCUCCCGUUAAAUCCAACGAUUCAAUCGUUGGACUGCGGGAGAUACUGUUAGGCUAGGGGGCGGUAGAAGCCGACGGUAUUCUCGGGGUAGGGGUAAAAUCCUAUAAUCCCGGGAAGACCACCAGUGGCGAAGGCUGUCGGCUAGAACGCGCCCGACGGUGAGGGACGAAAGCUGGGGGAGCGAACCGGAUUAGAUACCCGGGUAGUCCCAGCUGUAAACGAUGCGGGCUAGGUGUUGGGGCGGCUACGGGCCGCUUCAGUGCCGCAGGGAAACCAUUAAGCCCGCCGCCUGGGGAGUACGGCCGCAAGGCUGAAACUUAAAGGAAUUGGCGGGGGAGCAC